UCCUAUAUAGUUAAACAGAUGAAAUCAAAUCAUUAGUACACUAGCUAUAAUCACAUUGAAAACAGAAUCGUAUUAGAUUUUUUUUUUUUUAAUUUCAGUUUGAUUUGAUUUUUCCUAUAAGCAAAAGUUCUACAACCCGAGAAAGGAAUGGAGGGUAAAGCCUUGUCGACCUUCACGUGUCCAUCUAUAUUGUUUCUUACCUAAACAUAUUAGAUUUGGA
rnacentral:lncRNA from 1 species